rnacentral:rRNA from 1 species
UACGUAGGUGGCAAGCGUUGUCCGGAAUUAUUGGGCGUAAAGCGCGCGCAGGCGGUCUUUUAAGUCUGAUGUGAAAGCCCACGGCUCAACCGUGGAGGGUCAUUGGAAACUGGGGAACUUGGGUGCAGAAGAGGAAAGUGGAAUUCCAAGUGUAGCGGUGAAAUGCGUAGAGAUUUGGAGGAACACCAGUGGCGAAGGCGACUUUCUGGUCUGUAACUGACACUGAGGCGCGAAAGCGUGGGGAGCAAACGGG